AGGCUGCUGGAGAAGAUAUUUU
rnacentral:miRNA from 1 species